rnacentral:hammerhead_ribozyme from 1 species
GUACUGCUGAGGAGUCCUAUACUAAGACUAAACGGUCUUCCAGUAC